GAUGAACGCUGGCGGCGUGCCUAAUACAUGCAAGUCGAGCGAACAGACGAGGAGCUUGCUCCUCUGACGUUAGCGGCGCACGGGUGAGUAACACGUGGAUAACCUACCUAUAAGACUGGGAUAACUUCGGGAAACCGGAGCUAAUACCGGAUAAUAUAUUGAACCGCAUGGUUCAAUAGUGAAAGACGGUUUUGCUGUCACUUAUAGAUGGAUCCGCGCCGCAUUAGCUAGUUGGUAAGGUAACGGCUUACCAAGGCAACGAUGCGUAGCCGACCUGAGAGGGUGAUCGGCCACACUGGAACUGAGACACGGUCCAGACUCCUACGGGAGGCAGCAGUAGGGAAUCUUCCGCAAUGGGCGAAAGCUUGACGGAGCAACGCCGCGUGAGUGAUGAAGGUCUUCGGAUCGUAAAACUCUGUUAUUAGGGAAGAACAAAUGUGUAAGUAACUAUGCACGUCUUGACGGUACCUAAUCAGAAAGCCACGGCUAACUACGUG
rnacentral:rRNA from 1 species